rnacentral:rRNA from 1 species
CACGUAGGGGGCAAGCGUUGUCCGGAUUUAUUGGGCGUAAAGAGCUCGUAGGCGGCUCAGUAAGUCAGGUGUGAAACCUCCAGGCUCAACCUGGAGACGCCACCUGAUACUGCUGUGGCUAGAGUCCGGUAGGGGAGCGUGGAAUUCCUGGUGUAGCGGUGAAAUGCGCAGAUAUCAGGAGGAACACCCAGCGGCGAAAGGCGGCGCUCUGGGGCCGGAACUGACGCUGAGGAAGCGAAAAGCGUGGGUAGCAAACAGG